GCUGGGAUGGCCGAGUCGUUAAGGCGAGUGAUUUGAAUUUCAAUUAUCACUUGGUGUUUCACCGCGUAGGUUCAAAUCCUGCUUCCAGCG